rnacentral:rRNA from 1 species
AGUUUGAUCAUGGCUCAGAGUGAACGCUGGCGGCAGGCCUAAUACAUGCAAGUCGAACGGCAGCACAGCAGAGCUUGCUCUGUGGGUGGCGAGUGGCGGACGGGUGAGGAAUACGUGGGAAUCUGCCCAGUCGUGGGGGAUAACGUAGGGAAACUUACGCUAAUACCGCAUGCGCCCUUCGGGGGGAAAGCCGGGGACCUUCGGGCCUGGCGCGAUUGGAUGAGCCCACGUCGGAUUAGCUAGUUGGCGGGUAAAGGCCCACCAAGGCGACGAUCCGUAGCUGGUCUGAGAGGAUGAUCAGCCACACUGGAACUGAGACACGGUCCAGACUCCUACGGGAGGCAGCAGUAGGGAAUAUUGGACAAUGGGCGCAAGCCUGAUCCAGCCAUGCCGCGUGAGUGAAGAAGGCCCUCGGGUUGUAAAGCUCUUUUGUCCGGAAAGAAAAGCGCCGGGUUAAUACCCUGGUGUCCUGACGGUACCGGAAGAAUAAGCACCGGCUAACUUCGUG